AACGAACGCUGGCGGCAGGCCUAACACAAGCAAGUCGAGCGAGGACUUCGGUUCUAGCGGCGGACGGGUGAGUAACGCGUGGGAAUGUGCCCUUCUCUACGGAAUAGCCCUGGGAAACUGGGAGUAAUACCGUAUACGCCCUUUUGGGGAAAGAUUUAUCGGAGAAGGAUCAGCCCGCGUUGGAUUAGGUAGUUGGUGGGGUAAUGGCCUACCAAGCCGACGAUCCAUAGCUGGUUUGAGAGGAUGAUCAGCCACACUGGGACUGAGACACGGCCCAGACUCCUACGGGAGGCAGCAGUGGGGAAUCUUAGACAAUGGGGGCAACCCUGAUCUAGCCAUGCCGCGUGAGUGAUGAAGGCCUUAGGGUUGUAAAGCUCUUUCAGCUGGGAAGAUAAUGACGGUACCAGCAGAAGAAGCCCCGGCUAACUCCGUG
rnacentral:rRNA from 1 species